rnacentral:tRNA from 1 species
GAGGGUAUAGCUCAAGCGGUAGAGCGCAUGCUUAGCAUGCAGGAGGUCCUGGGUUCAAUCCUUGGCACCUCCU